UACACUCCUACGGGAGGCAGCAGUGGGGAAUUUUGGACAAUGGGCGAAAGCCUGAUCCAGCAAUGCCGCGUGAGUGAAGAAGGCCUUCGGGUUGUAAAGCUCUUUUGUCAGGGAAGAAACGGUGAAAGCUAAUAUCUUUUGCUAAUGACGGUACCUGAAGAAUAAGCACCGGCUAACUACGUGCCAGCAGCCGCGGUAAUACGUAGGGUGCAAGCGUUAAUCGGAAUUACUGGGCGUAAAGCGUGCGCAGGCGGUUUUGUAAGUCUGAUGUGAAAUCCCCGGGCUCAACCUGGGAAUUGCAUUGGAGACUGCAAGGCUAGAAUCUGGCAGAGGGGGGUAGAAUUCCACGUGUAGCAGUGAAAUGCGUAGAUAUGUGGAGGAACACCGAUGGCGAAGGCAGCCCCCUGGGUCAAGAUUGACGCUCAUGCACGAAAGCGUGGGGAGCAAACAGGAUUAGAAACCCCGGUAGUCC
rnacentral:rRNA from 1 species